AGGCCCCGCCUCCCAGCGGCCUCGGCGGCUGGUUCGGGGGUCCCGGGGCCCCCGCGAUCGCUGGUGAAAUGGGCACGACGCGUACAGAUCCGGGGCCGCAAGCAUGGGGCCCGCACGCCCGGCCUUGGUUCUGGGAUGCGCACUGAGUAGCACUAUGCUCACAAGCGGUCCCAAGGGCCUUGUGCCCUAAUCAGAUGUAGGAAAUAAAACUCUGUCAACCUGGAGGCCCGGUUCAAGGCUUCCAGUCAAGCACUGGCAGGACAGACCUCUGCUGGGUGUCGCCUCUCCCGUCAGAGGGCGCAGCUCUGGCUGGAGGUUAACAGGCAGCAGGUGCACAGCUUAGUAACAGGAAGAAGUCGAAACAGAAUUAGAUCCACAGAGCGACCUAGUGCACGUGAUGAAUGUAAACCAGAACUCAAACGAUGCAACACAGGCCACUGUGAUCUUGGGAAGAUCGAAGCCGCAGACCAGCGUCUGGGCGUGGCCCACCGGUCGGCUCCGCCUCCGUCCGAAGCCUCGGCAUCUGGAGCCUCCCCUUGCCCUCCCCACGUGCAUCCCGGAAGCCCCAGCUCACGGCCACAGGGGUGGUCCGGCCGUGUCUGGUCCCGUCCUGUUUAAAGGCACCCACGGCAACCAUGAAACGCAUCCGGGAGAAGCGCACAGGCCGUAAGCCACGGACACGCUCGUCAGAAGGAUAAACCCCCGCUCAGAACAGCAGUGGCCGUGGGGGCGCAGGCGGGGCGGGACGGGGUCCCAGGCGCUUGGUUCCGCAGACUGGAGGGGGAGCGCUGGCUGUUCCCCGAGCUGCUGCGCCGACCCCUCAUCUCCCCCUCCCUGAUUCAGCACUCACUCUCCUUCAGAGCGAAACCCCGCCCCUCACGGCUCCCCGAGGCCUUGGUUUGCCUGAGUUCUUGUAAAACGUGCUGUUUCCAACACUUGGU